rnacentral:rRNA from 1 species
UGGGGAAUAUUGGACAAUGGGCGCAAGCCUGAUCCAGCCAUGCCGCGUGAGUGAUGAAGGCCUUAGGGUUGUAAAGCUCUUUCGCGCGCGACGAUAAUGACGGUAGCGCGAGAAGAAGCCCCGGCUAACUUCGUGCCAGCAGCCGCGGUAAUACGAAGGGGGCUGGCGUUGUUCGGAAUCACUGGGCGUAAAGCGCAUGCAGGCGGAUCGUUAAGUCGGGGGUGAAAUCCCGAGGCUCAACCUCGGAACUGCCUUCGAUACUGGCGAUCUUGAGUACGGGAGAGGUGAGUGGAACGGCGCGUGUAGAGGUGAAAUUCGUAGAUAUUCGCAAUAACACCAGUGGCGAAGGCGGCUCACUGGCCCGGUACUGACGCUCAGGUGCGAAAGCGUGGGGAGCAAACA